rnacentral:rRNA from 1 species
GACGGAGGAUGCAAGCGUUAUCCGGAAUGAUUGGGCGUAAAGCGUCCGCAGGUGGCAGUUCAAGUCUGCUGUCAAAGACCGGGGCUUAACUUCGGAAAGGCAGUGGAAACUGAACAGCUAGAGUAUGGUAGGGGCAGAGGGAAUUCCUGGUGUAGCGGUGAAAUGCGUAGAGAUCAGGAAGAACAUCGGUGGCGAAGGCGCUCUGCUGGACCAUAACUGACACUCGAGGGACGAAGCUAGGGAGCGAAUGG